CAGAAACGUGGCAGCAAGGGUCUUUUGGUCUUUUCACCUCUUGUUCUUAUCUAUUUCAGUCCAGCACGACCAGGGAUGCUUGCUGGAGUGUGCUAAAGCUCAGAGGAAGGGCUUUGUACCUUUCCCACUUUCUCUCUCUAGGGUUUCUCUCUCUUCGAGUAGAAAUCGUCGAUUUGCGCCUAUUUCUCGCCGUUCGUCGCGCUAGCUGGUUUGUGGACUUUGGAGCAGCUACGAGUGGGUGGAAAGGACUCGCAUGGGAGGUAUUUUCGCAGCUCCAACUCACAGGGAAGUUGAGUUGAGGUUUAGUGAGAUGGUUUUGAACUGUAAUUGAGGAACGGUUUUGCUGUAAUUCUUCACCCCAAAGUCAGAUUUGAAGCCUUGGAGGGUUCCGAAUUAAUUUGAGUUAAAUUGGUGACCUUGGGGACUGGUUUAGAAAGUGUUCUAACCUGGGCGAGGGCGCAGCCGACCUUUGGGUCAUCUUUGGUUGACAUCAAUGAGCCUUUAGAGGCUAAACUUGAGGACACAUUUGAGUUGGUUUUAAGACGAGCAUUGGGAGCCUUGUCAAUCUGAGAAGCUGGAAUACCCGGAUCGCUUAGCUACGUGAACUCGACAAAAGGCAUCGUUUAUAGAGCCUUCCACCGCGGGAAAGGCUAGGGUUCUUGGCGAG